rnacentral:rRNA from 1 species
UACGUAAGGGGCAAGCGUUGUCCGGAAUCACUGGGCGUAAAGGGCACGUAGGCGGUUUAGCAAGUUAGGGGUGCAAGCUCCAGGCUUAACCUGGAAACUGCCUCUAAAACUACUUCACUUGAGUAUUAGAGGGGAAGCUGGAAUUCACGGUGUAGCGGUGAAAUGCGUAGAUAUCGUGGAGAACACCCGUGGCGAAGGCGGGCUUCUGGCUAAUAACUGACGCUGAGGUGCGAAAGCUAGGGGAGCGAACGGG